GCCAAACCAUGCUGAAAACAGCUGUUCUCGUCUGAUCAAUGAAGUUAAGCGGCAUUGGCCGUGGUCAGUACUUGAGAGGGUGAACACUUGGGAACACCGCGUGCCGUU